CGGCACCAAAAGUUUGCAAGAAGAAGAAGAAGAAGAAGCGCGCACGAAGUUCAGCACAAAAUGUAGAAAAAAAACAAUUAUUGCAAAAUGGACAAAAGUAGAGACGCUGAGGAUUCCUGAUGCGCGUCCUCGCUCCCGGCUACAAGAAGGAAACGAUCGGAUGCAGCGAUGCAUACAACAGUAAUUUUUCAGGUUUUGCCCACCAGCCAGCUCUCCCCUCUCUGAUACGAUAUGAUAUCUACAGUGCCAAACUUCUAAACGAUGUUCCUUCUUCCUCAAAGGGAAAUGCAGAAAACCCGGAGGAAAGCGCUAGCCGCCAUCUUCCGCAUACCCGAACUCACACCCAACCACGAUUGGCUAAAUUAUUUUGAUUGACAGCAGUGUUUAAUUGUAUUUUUAAAUAUUAUAAUAUAUUUUUCUUUGCUUUUUUUCCUGUUAGUUUUAACGGAUCCUAAUUUAAUUGUUGAUUGGUUUUUUUGUGUGUUUUUCAUGUUUUUGUAAAUCAGUGCUUUUAGUUUAUAUCUUUGAUUGUCUUCGGUUUGUGUGAUAGUCAAAUUUGUGUUUUUGACAUAGUUAGAAAACUCAAGAUUAGUAAAUAUGUAGCUAAGAAUAUCUAGCUGUUGGGGGGGUGAUGGUGGUAGCUUAGUCAUUAAGGCACUGGACUUUGGAUCUGAAGGUAUUGAGUUCAAAUCACACCAAGCCGCCACUCAAGGACCCCUGAUCAAGACCCUUAAAAUCACAGCUGGACAGCUGAAUGGGAUAAAUGUAAGUCGCUCUGGAUAAGGGCAUCUCCUGUAUGCAAUAAAUGUAAAAAAUAAAUGCACAGAAUUAAAAAUGGAAAGAUUAAAUCUAUACUGUAAUAAAUAGAACCGUCUGUGUGAAUAAAACUAUCUGAAACUACACGUGUCAUGAUCAACUACUGGACUGUGAAAGUCGACUAGGUCGCAAGAAUGUUAAGGGGAAAAAGAUUUUAUUGUGUGUUUUGUCCAUUAAGAACCACACACACACACACAUAUAUAUAUACAGGUAUUCUCUGAGUUACAAUGCUUUAUAUUUUUCAGUGUUUUUGGUGUUUUAGAGCCCAAUUUUUAGCUCUUGUCUCUACUCAUGAACCAGCACUCGUCCACACGUGUGUGAGACGCUACAAAGUGCUCCCAUAUAGCGAGUCUAUAGAGCUGUUCAUUGGGCCCUUUUGCAUUUUUAACA